UAAAAGACGCCCCCUCUCCCCUCGCUCGACGUGGUUGAACCCAGGAGGGCGCCAAGUCUCUGCAGACCGGAGUGCUGCUGAUAGAACAUGCCGCCCAGGAGGAAGAAACCCGGGCAUGUGCCCAGUGACCAGUGGGUGCUCAUAGCUCCAGAUUCCCUGAAAGAUGAUGCAGAGAAGCCAAGUGAUAAAACAUUGUUUGCCAAGUUACGCAGUCCCCUUUCAGAUAAAGGCGCCAUGUUCUUAUUUAUCAGCUGUGGACAGCAGGUCUGCGAAGUGAAAGUUUUCCAGGAGGAAUAUCGGUCAUGGUUUAUUGGUCAGACAGUUCAGGAAGAUGGCAGAUUACUGUAUGUCACACCAGUAGACCCUCUGUUUUUGGUGCUGUACUAUCUGAUGAAAGCUGACAAAGAGCAAGGGAAAUUUCAGCCAGUGGAGCAGAUUGUGGUAGAUGAAGAAUUUCCAGCAUGUUCAUUGUUACUGCAGUGCACACCAGUAGCACAAUCUCUUCAUCAUGUCACAGAAGAAAAGGAAAUUGGCAGCAAGAAAUUUUACAAGUACAGUAAAGAGAAGACUCUUGCAUGGCUAAAGAAAAAGGUUGAUCAAACUGUUAAAGUAUUGAAGGACAGUGACGUAUGUGUGGGGGGAACCACACAGUCUGUCAGCUUUAUUCGGGUUAAACAGGAAUCUCACAUACAAGAAGAGGACUAUGUGCGCUAUGCUCAUGGACUGGUUUCAGAAUACAUUUCCAUACAGCUCCGCGACGAGCUGUCUACGUAUCUAAAUCUCCCAGAUGUUUCCAGUCCAACCCCAGAACCACCUAACAAAGAAAAGGAAACUAUCUGACAAGCCCGUGGAAGCAGAAGAGGACUACACAAAAUAUAAUUCAAAUGACAAAGGCAAAAAGGCUAAUAGCAAGAUGUCGGCAGCUCAGAAAUCCCUGGCCAAAGUGGACAAAAGUGGAAUGAAAAACAUAUCAUCUUUUUUUAGUCCAAAAUCUAAAGCCACAAAAUAAGAUGAGAACACUGAAAUUUCUAAUUUUUUUUAUGUAGUAAAAUUGUUUUGUUACAUGCCGUCUGUUCUUUGGAUGAGGGCAGGUGGUGUUUGAUAUGUUCCAGUUAUAGCAAGGCGCUGUUCACACUAUUAUAAUGUCUUCCUAUAAUAAUAGAGCUAUGAACGCUAUGCCGCAUUAGUCUUAUGGAUAUCGUAUGCGUAUCCUGCAUUUUGCUCUGUUGAUAGCAAUACGAUGGAAGUAAGACAGAUGGGAUUUAUUGCAGCUGCCUGAAAAGUCUACUUGGAAAAGAGGGAAAAUAAAAUCCGUAUUUUACAGUGUG